GACGAACUUUGGCGGCGUGCUUAACACAUGCAAGUCGAACGGAAAGGCCCUGCUUUUGUGGGGUGCUCGAGUGGCGAACGGGUGAGUAACACGUGAGUAACCUGCCCUUGACUUUGGGAUAACUUCAGGAAACUGGGGCUAAUACCGGAUAGGAGCUCCUGCUGCAUGGUGGGGGUUGGAAAGUUUCGGCGGUUGGGGAUGGACUCGCGGCUUAUCAGCUUGUUGGUGGGGUAGUGGCUUACCAAGGCUUUGACGGGUAGCCGGCCUGAGAGGGUGACCGGCCACAUUGGGACUGAGAUACGGCCCAGACUCCUACGGGAGGCAGCAGUGGGGAAUAUUGCACAAUGGGCGGAAGCCUGAUGCAGCAACGCCGCGUGCGGGAUGACGGCCUUCGGGUUGUAAACCGCUUUCGCCUGUGACGAAGCGUGAGUGACGGUAAUGGGUAAAGAAGCACCGGCUAACUACGUGCCAGCAGCCGCGGUGAUACGUAGGGUGCGAGCGUUGUCCGGAUUUAUUGGGCGUAAAGGGCUCGUAGGUGGUUGAUCGCGUCGGAAGUGUAAUCUUGGGGCUUAACCCUGAGCGUGCUUUCGAUACGGGUUGACUUGAGGAAGGUAGGGGAGAAUGGAAUUCCUGGUGGAGCGGUGGAAUGCGCAGAUAUCAGGAGGAACACCAGUGGCGAAGGCGGUUCUCUGGGCCUUUCCUGACGCUGAGGAGCGAAAGCGUGGGGAGCGAACAGGCUUAGAUACCCUGGUAGUCCACGCUGUAAACGGUGGGUACUAGGUGUGGGGUCCAUUCCACGGGUCCCGCGCCGUAGCUAACGCUUUAAGUACCCCGCCUGGGGAGUACGGCCGCAAGGCUAAAACUCAAAGGAAUUGACGGGGCCCCGCACAAGCGGCGGAGCAUGCGGAUUAAUUCGAUGCAACGCGUAGAACCUUACCUGGGUUUGACAUGGAUCGGGAGUGCUCAGAGAUGGGUGUGCCUCUUUUGGGGUCGGUUCACAGGUGGUGCAUGGCUGUCGUCAGCUCGUGUCGUGAGAUGUUGGGUUAAGUCCCGCAACGAGCGCAACCCUUGUUCACUGUUGCCAGCACGUUAUGGUGGGGACUCAGUGGAGACCGCCGGGGUCAACUCGGAGGAAGGUGGGGAUGACGUCAAGUCAUCAUGCCCCUUAUGUCCAGGGCUUCACGCAUGCUACAAUGGCUGGUACAGAGAGUGGCGAGCCUGUGAGGGUGAGCGAAUCUCGGAAAGCCGGUCUCAGUUCGGAUUGGGGUCUGCAACUCGACCUCAUGAAGUCGGAGUCGCUAGUAAUCGCAGAACAGCAACGCUGCGGUGAAUACGUUCCCGGGGCU
rnacentral:rRNA from 1 species